rnacentral:rRNA from 1 species
GAUGAACGCUGGCGGCGUGCCUAAUACAUGCAAGUCGAGCGAACGGACGAGAAGCUUGCUUCUCUGAUGUUAGCGGCGGACGGGUGAGUAACACGUGGAUAACCUACCUAUAAGACUGGGGUAACUUCGGGAAACCGUAGCUAAUACCGGCUAAUAUUUUGAACCGCAUGGUUCAAGAGUGAAAGACGGUCUUGCUGUCACUUAUAGAUGGAUCCGCGCUGGAUUAGCUAGUUGGUAAGGUAACGGCUUACCAAGGCAACGAUGCAUAGCCGACCUGAGAGGAUGAUCAGCCACACUGGGACUGAGACACGGCCCAGACUCCUACGGGAGGCAGCAGUAGGGAAUCUUCGGCAAUGGGCGAAAGCCUGACGGAGCAACGCCGCGUGAGUGAUGAAGGUCUUCGGGUCGUAAAGCUCUGUUGUUAGGGAAGAAAAUAUGUGUAUGAAACUGUGCACAUCAUGACGGUACCGAAAGAGAAAGCAACGGCUAACUACGUG